rnacentral:rRNA from 1 species
GACGAACGCUGGCGGCGUGCUUAACACAUGCAAGUCGAACGGAAAGGCCCUGCUUUUGUGGGGUGCUCGAGUGGCGAACGGGUGAGUAACACGUGAGUAACCUGCCCUUGACUUUGGGAUAACUUCAGGAAACUGGGGCUAAUACCGGAUAGGAGCUCCUGCUGCAUGGUGGGGGUUGGAAAGUUUCGGCGGUUGGGGAUGGACUCGCGGCUUAUCAGCUUGUUGGUGGGGUAGUGGCUUACCAAGGCUUUGACGGGUAGCCGGCCUGAGAGGGUGACCGGCCACAUUAGGACUGAGAUACGGCCCAGACUCCUACGGGAGGCAGCGGUGGGGAAUAGUGCACAAUGGGCGGAAGCCUGAUGCAGCAACGCCGCGUGCGGGAUGACGGCCUUCGGGUUGUAAACCGCUUUCGCCUGUGACGAAGCGUGAGUGACGGUAAUGGGUAAAGAAGCACCGGCUAACUACGUG